rnacentral:rRNA from 1 species
GACGAACGCUGGCGGCGUGCUUAACACAUGCAAGUCGAGCGGUAAGGCCCUUUCGGGGGUACACGAGCGGCGAACAGGUGAGUAACACGUGGGUGACCUGCCCUCAGCUCUGGGAUAAGCCUGGGAAACUGGGUCUAAUACUGGAUAUGACUCCACGGUGCAUGUCGUGGGGUGGAAAGCCUUGUGCGGCUGAGGAUGGGGCCCGCGGCCUAUCAGCUUGUUGGUGGGGUGAUGGCCUACCAAGGCGACGACGGGUAGCCGGCCUGAGAGGGGCGGACCGGCCACACUGGGACUGAGACACGGCCCAGACUCCUACGGGAGGGCAGCAGUGGGGAAUCUUGCGCAAUGGGCGAAAGCCUGACGCAGCGACGCCGCGUGAGGGAUGACGGCCUU